GUAUGAUUGCUGAUUAGACAACUAUUCACCAAAGUGUAAAUGGAAGUGGAUGUAAUAAAUUUUGUAAAGUUCAAAUGAAGUGGAUAUAUAUAAAAAAGAAGAUGUGGUAUGAUUGCCAAUGAGACAACUAUCCACAAAAGACCAAAAUGACACAAACAUUAACAACUGUAGGUCACCAUACGGCCUUCAACAAUGAGCAAAGCCCAUACCGCAUAGUCAGCUAUAAAAGGCCUCGAUAAGACAAUGUAAAACAAUUCAAACG
rnacentral:lncRNA from 1 species